GAGAGAGGCUGGCCAGCAACGAAGGUUGCUAACCCUCGUGCCCUGGGUUGGAAUCCCGGGCUCUACUCA
rnacentral:tRNA from 1 species